CUGGCUUUUGGUUGCCUGCUUUGCCUUUGUGUUGGGCGGGUGGCUAUUGGCUGGGGCAGUUUCGGGGAAUGUCGACCGUAAAGGUGCAUGAGUGGUGUUUGGUUUGUUAUGGGUGGUUGGCUGUCUGCUUGCGCAGCAACGUCCACGCAUACAUACCUCUUCAUUAUAGCGACAAGGCUCAUUUUGCCUUGAGCGUUCCGUGGGUUUCCUGUGUUGCGUACCUAAUCGAUGGUAAUAUGUUGAUCUAUCAUUGUUCCCUUUCGUCAUGCGUCGCUCUUGCGGCGUAAGGCGAACCUUGUAGCUGUCUCUAUGAUCCACCUUGUCAAUGUCCAUGCAUUGAUGAGUUGGCCCGUUGAGCAUUGCUUGGUCUCUUGGAUACAGAACCUUAUGCGGGCAUGGGAUCGUACUUGAUCCCUCAUUUGCCCUUGUUAAGCGUUCUCGCUUCUCCAAAACGACUGCUUGUCAUGUGUUGGCUUGUCC
rnacentral:misc_RNA from 1 species